rnacentral:rRNA from 1 species
CAAUUAAACUUUUAUUAAAGGUUUGGUCCCAGCCUUCCUAUUAGCUGCUUAUAAACUUACACAUGCAAGCAUCAACAUUCCAGUGAGAAUGCCCUUAAAUCCUAUUACAGGACAAAAGGAGCAGAUAUCAAGUACACAUUCAUUGUGGCUAAAAACGUCUUGCCCAACCACACCCCCACGGGAUACAGCAGUGAUAAACCUUAAGCAAUAAACGAAAGUUUGACUAAGUUAUAUAAUUUAGGGUUGGUAAAUUUCGUGCCAGCCACCGCGGUCAUACGGUUAACCCAAGUUAAUAGGCCUUACGGUGUAAAAAGUGUAAAAUAGAAUUUUCUAUAAAAUGAAGAUAAGAUAAAUUUAAGGUGUACAAACCUUCAAAUUUACAAAAACUUAACAGCGAAAGUGUCUUCACUUUUCUUAGCUACACGACAGCUAGAAUACAAACUGGGAUUAGAUACCCCAUUAUGUCUAGCCAUAAACAUAAAUAGUUCACAACAAAACUAUUCACCAGAGAACUACGGGCCAUAGCCUAAAACUCAAAGGACUUGGCGGUGCUUCACAUCCCCCUAGAGGAGCCUGUUCUAUAAUCGAUAAACCCCGUUUUACCUCACCAACCCUUGCUAAUUCAGUCUAUAUACCGCCAUCUUCAGCAAACCCUGAUUAAGGAAACAAAGUAAGCUUAAUUAUUAACCAUAAAAACGUUAGGUCAAGGUGUAACCUAUGGGUUGGCAAGCAAUGGGCUACAUUUUUUCUUUAAAAACAACACUUUACGGAAAAUCUUUAUGAAAUGAAAGAUAAAAGGAGGAUUUAGUAGUAAAUUAAGAAUAGAGAGCUUAAUUGAAUCUGGCCAUGAAGCACGUACACACCGCCCGUCACCCUCCUCAAAUGGUUUCAAGUUAACAUUUUUUUUAAUAUUACUAACUCACACUAGAGGAGACAAGUCGUAACAAGGUAAGUAUACUGGAAAGUGUACUUGGAAAAUU